UGUAUCAUGAGUGUCUGGUGGGGAGAGACUGUAUCAUGAGUGUCUGGUGGGGUGAGACUGUAUCAUGAGUGUCUGGUGGGGUGAGACUGUAUCAUGAGUGUCUGGAGGGGUGAGACUGUAUCAUGAGUGUCUGGUGGGGAGAGACUGUAUCAUGAGUGUCUGGUGGGGUGAGACUGUAUCAUGAGUGUCUGGUGGGGUGAGACUGUAUCAUGAGUGUCUGGAGGGGUGAGACUGUAUCAUGAGUGUCUGGAGGGGUGAGACUGUAUCAUGAGUGUCUGGUGGGGUGAGACUGUAUCAUGAGUGUCUGGUGGGGUGAGACUGUAUCAUGAGUGUCUGGAGGGGUGAGACUGUAUCAUGAGUGUCUGGAGGGGUGAGACUGUAUCAUGAGUGUCUGGUGGGGAGAGACUGUAUCAUGAGUGUCUGGAGGGGUGAGACUGUAUCAUGAGUGUCUGGAGGGGUGAGACUGUAUCAUGAGUGUCUGGUGGGGAGAGACUGUAUCAUGAGUGUCUGGAGGGGUGAGACUGUAUCAUGAGUGUCUGGUGGGGAGAGACUGUAUCAUGAGUGUCUGGUGGGGUGAUUCGUACUGCCGAGUCUUGUGUCAGUUUCCGUCUUUAUAACUGAGUGUCCAGUGUUGGUGCUGUCUUUUUUUUUUUUUUUUUACGUUGCUGCUUAUUGCGCCGUUAGGCUUUUUCACUGGUGGAGCCUGAUGGUCGGCCCAGCCCGUUGUGGCACAUCCGAAUGUUUAUAGUGGCGCCAUCUUAUUUUGGGUCAUACUGCCCCCCGGAGCUCAUCUUUGAGCCUCUCUUUAGAGAGGUUAUCUAGAGUCCGGGUUGAUAGAUGGUCUUCAGGGCAGCAUGUGGGUAGUCUUAGGCCACUCGGCGGUGACUGAAAAAUCCCAGCUAUAUGGCGGCCAGGAUUCGAACCCGCGUCCCUCCUGGUUCUCCUGGACGCGGCGCCGGCAAGCUAAUCACUCAGCCACCGCUUCCCCAUGGGGCGACUCUUGUUCAUUUUGCACAAUGACUCACAUGGUUGGGGCUUUGCACAAAAAGGACGGAAUGAUGUCAUGGCGAAAAGAGGAAAAUCGUAUUAACUAGUGAGUAAUCCUGCAUGUGACUUCCACCAACGCGCACACACACACACACACACACACACACACAUACACACCAAUUGCGAAGCAAGUGAAAUAUGAGGCAGUUCCCUCAUUUCUUGUGCAUGCGCACGUGCGUGCGUGCACAUGAAUUUCUCCUUAAUAGUAGGGCUCGUGUGCCCCUGCUAACCAUACCAUUUAAAAGCUUUUGAAUCAUACACAAAGCGAAAAAUAUGCCGAAGUAACAAUGCUAAUAAUAAUCAAUAUUCUUUAUUAUGAUAACAUAAAAAUAGUGCGCUCGUCAGGUGUUGAACAAGCGGUGGAGCAUAUAGUACUUAUACUAUUGUACUUUGGUACUGACAAAUUGAUAAGCUGUGUACCAACGUCAAAUUUGUGCUGUAAUUCUUUAAAUGAGGAGGCAGUGGUAAUGUUGAUAAUUGGCAAUUUAUCGAAUCUCAAAUCUUAAUCCCGCUCGAGCUCUUCCUCUUCAUCACAAAGACAGGGUAAGAUUUUUUUUACAGUAGUGCGUCAUCCGCUCCUUUGUGGGUUGAUUCCCAACCACGUGAGUCGCGGUGAUGUGCCACACGCGGGCAGCGGAAACCAUGCCUUCAGUUUCGCCAAACCUUCAUCUUAGCGUGAGUGACCUUCAGCUCCAUCGCUUCACUUCUUUCGCGUUGUCUCGAAUCCCUAACUGAGGCUCUCGCGACUCAGCAAAACUUCACUGCGUCGGGCAGUGGUGAUGUCACUGUCGACGGCCCCGCGAUGACACACGCGGCGGAACCAAAGCCGUCGAUGAGAUAUAAAUAGAAAUCUGAUGAUGUAUAUUUGUUAGUGAACGUUCAGCGUUGAAAUUUUAUAUUUUCUGAUAUAAAUCUGAAGUACGUUAGCAUUUUAAGGAUUGUUCCGAAUCACUUAUUAAAAAUACUUUGUUGUAUUUAAUGAAUUAUCAAUAACAUGCAAAGAAAUUUUUCAAAUGAAAUUUGUAUAGUAAUAAGUAUGUGACCAGAAUGAAUAUGUUAUUAGAUGCAUAAAAAAUAUAUAUAAUUCACCUUUCUAAAAUGAAAUAAUUACGGGGGUGAAUAUGUGUUAAUGGCGGACGAGGGCUGAAGAAGGGAAGGCGCUUUGAGGCAGAGGGAGGAGCGUAGAGCAGCAUAUAGAUGAAAAUGCAUUGGACUGAGUGUUUCUUCAGAUGCUGCGUCAGGGCACACGUAUGACAGGCAGCAAUAGCAAGAAUGGGAGCUUGUGGAAGAGGGAGAG